rnacentral:rRNA from 1 species
GAGUUUGAUCGUGGCUCAGGAUGAACGCUGGCGGCGUGCCUAACACAUGCAAGUCGAACGGAGUUUAUGAGGAAGAAGCUUCGGCGGAAUUCUUAUAAACUUAGUGGCGGACGGGUGAGUAACACGUGGAGAACCUGCCUCUUACCGGGGGACAGCAGUUGGAAACGAACUGAUAAUACCGCAUAAGCGCACGAGACCGCAUGGUCC